AGUGAACGCUGGCGGUAGGCCUAACACAUGCAAGUCGAACGGCAGCACAGUAAGAGCUUGCUCUUACGGGUGGCGAGUGGCGGACGGGUGGAGAAUACAUCGGAAUCUACUUUUUCGUGGGGGAUAACGUAGGGAAACUUACGCUAAUACCGCAUACGACCUACGGGUGAAAGAAGGGGAUCUUCGGACCUUGCGCGAUUGAAUGAGCCGAUGUCGGAUUAGCUAGUUGGCGGGGUAAAGGCCCACCAAGGCGGCGACCCGUAGCUGGUCUGAGAGGAUGAUCAGCCACACUGGAACUGAGACACGGUCCAGACUCCUACGGGAGGCAGCAGUGGGGAAUAUUGGACAAUGGGCGCAAGCCUGAUCCAGCCAUACCGCGUGGGUGAAGAAGGCCUUCGGGUUGUAAAGCCCUUUUGUUGGGAAAGAAAAGCAGCAGGUUAAUACCCCGCUGUUCUGACGGUACCCAAAGAAUAAGCACCGGCUAACUUCGUG
rnacentral:rRNA from 1 species